rnacentral:lncRNA from 1 species
AUGGGCUCAAUAAAGGACAGAAAUGGUAUGGACCUAACAGAAACAGAAGAUAUUAAGAGGUGGCAAGAAUACACAGAAAAACUAUACAAAAAAGAUCUUCAUGACCCAGAUAACCACGAUGGUGUGGUCACUCACCUAGAGCCAGACAUCCUGGAAUGUGAGGUCAAGUGGGCCUUGGAAAGCAUCACUAUGAACAAAGCUAGUGGAGGUGAUGGAAUUCCAGCUGGGUUAUUUCAAAUCCUAAAAGAUGAUGCUGUGAAAGUGCUGCACUCAGUAUGCCAACAAAUUGGGAAAACUCAGCAGUGGCCACAGGACUGGAAAAGGGCAGUUUUCAUUCCAAUCCCAAAGAAAGGCAAUGUCAAAGAAUUUUCCAACUACCGCACAAUUGCACUCAUCUCACACCCUAGUAAAGUAAUGCUUAAAAUUCUCCAAGCCAGGCUUCAAGAGUAUGUGAACAGUGAACUUCCAGAUGUUCAUGCUGGAUUUAGAAAAGCCAGAGGAACAAGAGAUCAAACUGCCAACAUCCACUGGAUCAUUGAGAAAGCAAGAGAGUUCCAGAAAAACAUCUACUUUUGCUUUAUUGACUAUGCCAAAGCCUUUGACUGUGUGGAUCACAAUAAACUGUGGGAAAUUCUUCAAGAGAUGGGAAUGCCAGACCACCUGACCUGUCUCUUGAGAAACCUGUAUGCAGGUCAGGAAGCAACAGUUAGAACUGGACAUGGAACAACAGACUGGUUUCAAAUUGGGAAAGGAAUAUGUCAAGGCUCUAUAUUGCCACCCUGUUUAUUUAACUUAUAUGCAGAGUACAUCAUGCGAAAUGCUGGGUUGGAUGCAGCACAAGCUGGAAUCAAGAUUGCAGGGAGAAAUAUCAAUAACCUCAGAUAUGCAGAUGACACUGCCCUUAUGGCAGAAAGUGAAGAGGAACUAAAAAGCCUCUUGAUGAAAGUACAAGAGGAGAGUGAAAAAGUUGGCUUAAAACUCAACAUCCAGAAAACUAAGAUCAUGGCAUCUGGUCCCAUCACUCCAUGGCAAAUAGAUGGAGGAACAGUGGGAACAGUGACAGACUUUAUUUUUGGGGGCUCCAAAAUCACUGCAGAUGGUGACUGCAGCCAUGAAAUUAAAAGACACUUGCUCCUUGGAAGAAAAACUAUGACAAACCUAGACAGCAUAUUAAAAAGCACAGACAUUACUUUGCCAACAAAGGUCUAUCUAGUCAAAGCUAUAGUUUUUUCAGUAGUCAUGUAUGGAUGUGAGAGUUGGACUAUAAAGAAAGCUGUGAGCUGA